GAUGAACGCUAGCUACAGGCUUAACACAUGCAAGUCGAGGGGAAGCGACAUCGAAAGCUUGCUUUUGAUGGGCGUCGACCGGCGCACGGGUGAGUAACGCGUAUCCAACCUGCCCAUCACUUGGGAAUAACCUUGCGAAAGUAAGACUAAUACCCAAUGACAUCCCACGAAGACAUCUGAAUGGGAUUAAAGAUUUAUCGGUGAUGGAUGGGGAUGCGUCUGAUUAGCUUGUUGGCGGGGUAACGGCCCACCAAGGCAACGAUCAGUAGGGGUUCUGAGAGGAAGGUCCCCCACAUUGGAACUGAGACACGGUCCAAACUCCUACGGGAGGCAGCAGUGAGGAAUAUUGGUCAAUGGGCGAGAGCCUGAACCAGCCAAGUAGCGUGCAGGAUGACGGCCCUAUGGGUUGUAAACUGCUUUUAUAAGGGAAUAAAGUGGGUCUCGUGAGACUUUUUGCAUGUACCUUAUGAAUAAGGACCGGCUAAUUCCGUG
rnacentral:rRNA from 1 species